CUUCAAAUAUGCUUUACAAGUCUAGAGCUUAGACAUUCAGUAUAAAAAAAAAAAAAAAAAAAAUCCCCCAACGAAAGUUACGAAACACAAAAAAAAACCCUAACUCCACAAAGACCACUCUUACCGAUCUCAAGCUACCUCUCGAUCCAACACACUCCCCUCACCGAUCUCAAUCUAUCUCACUCCCACCCUAUCCGAAUCCCCUUCCUCCCUCCGCUCUUCCUCCUCUCCAUUCCCUUCUCAUCGAUCGGUAGCACACACACACUUUCUCUCGAACUCUCAAUCUCACUCAAGGCACUCUCGCAAGGCCGACUAACAAUAGAGAAGGCCAAGUAAUAAACCUUGCGAUACAUAGAUGAGAAGGAGACAACAUUGAGAGAACUACCACCGUUGCAGAAUACCGUUUCCCUGUGCCAGAUAAUGACAUUGGGACUUCUGCAAUAAGAGAAUUAAAAGCAUGCGCUCAAAAAUCAUGCGGGUAUGUGCUGCGCUAGGGAUCGAAACGUCCACACACCAUACUAAUAGGAAAAUGUUCUUGUCAUUGGUGUACAAUUAAUGCACACGUCUCUUCGUGAUUCAAGUUCCUUGAAUUAUUUUCACAUGCUCUCAUCCUCGAUACAAUGAAUAAGUCUUGGAAAAUGCAAGUAGAAGUUUUGCAUUAAUUACAAAAUGACUUUCUAAGUUCCUAGGCUGCUAUAUAUAUAUAAAAAGCCUUCUGUUAUUGUACUUUUAAAGAGCAGAGAAAUAGAUUAACAAAAACAGGAACAUUUGGGACAUAAAGGGUUGCAUCCAAAUCACACAGAACCGUGAAAAAAAAAACACUAGCAUAUGUAAUGUCAGACCCAGAAAAUAAUGCGGCUACAAUAGCCAAGUGUGCUGUCGCAGUGCUUGGCGUAGCAAUUACCAUAUUUGGUCUCCUAUCUUGUUCAUCAGGAUCUAAAAACAGGAAGACAAUGAAAGCACCGGCUAGAAAUCAUCGCAUAUUCAGAGAUGUUUUUGAGAGAGACCCGGCAGCCUACUUUCGCAACCUGCGCAAGUAGUAGUAAUAUAACUUUUUCAGUUUUCUAUAUGUAAUAAAGUUAUCAAUAAUGCUGAGUGUCAUUGCUGUUUCCUUUGGCUUGUUAAUAGCUCUGGGGCUUAUUGAAUAAAUAUUUUGGAACUUAUCAUCUUUGAAUGGAGUAUUAAAUUCCAGUGUUA